CUGCCCAGUGACCAAAAGUUAAACGGCCGCGGUAUCCUAACCGUGCGAAGGUAGCACAAUCACUUGUUCUUUAAAUCAGGACCAGUAUGAAUGGCCUCACGAGAGCUACACUGUCUCCCCCCUUUAAUCAGUGAAACUGAUCUCCUCGUGAAGAAGCGAGGAUAUUACUAUUAGACGAGAAGACCCCAUGGAGCUUAAAACUUGUGCCACUGCCCCUAACCAUACCACACCCGGGCAAGUAUGACCACUAGUCUUUCAGCUGGGGCGGCUACGGAGAAAAACUAAACCUCCACGAUGAACGGAACUCCUCCCUAAUUAAAGAGCCACUGCUCUAAAAAUCAAUAAAUUGACAUAAAUUGACCCAAUACCUUGAUCAACGAACCAAGUUACCCUGGGGAUAACAGCGCAAUCCAUUUCAAGAGACCCCAUCGACAAAUGGGCUUACGACCUCGAUGUUGGAUCAGGGUAUCCAAGUGGUGCAGCCGCUACUAACGGUUCGUUUGUUCAACGAUUAAAACCCU
rnacentral:rRNA from 1 species